GUUGAAACACCAGUUCCCAUAUGAUCACUGAAGUUAAGCAAUGUUGAGUGUAGUGAGUACUUACAUGAGUGACCACUUGGGAAUACCUAGAGCUGUAA